UACGUAGGGGCCUAGCGUUGUCCGGAAUUAUUGGGCGUAAAGAGCUCGUAGGCGGUUCGGCAAGUCGGAUGUGAAAUCUCCACGCUUAACGUGGAGGGGCCAUUCGAAACUGCUGUGACUCGAGUCCGGUAGGGGAGUGUGGAAUUCCCGGUGUAGCGGUGAAAUGCGCAGAUAUCGGGAGGAACACCAGUAGCGAAGGCGGCACUCUGGGACGGUACUGACGCUGAGACGCGAAAGCGUGGGGAGCGAACAGG
rnacentral:rRNA from 1 species